rnacentral:rRNA from 1 species
AGUGAACGCUGGCGGUAGGCCUAACACAUGCAAGUCGAACGGCAGCACAGUAAGAGCUUGCUCUUACGGGUGGCGAGUGGCGGACGGGUGAGGAAUACAUCGGAAUCUACUUUUUCGUGGGGGAUAACGUAGGGAACUUACGCUAAUACCGCAUACGACCUACGGGUGAAAGCAGGGGAUCUUCGGACCUUGCGCGAUUGAAUGGGCCGAUGUCGGAUUAGCUAGUUGGCGGGGUAAAGGCCCACCAAGGCGACGAUCCGUAGCUGGUCGGAGAGGAUGAUCGGCCCCCCGGAAACUGAGCACCGGCCAGACUCCUACGGGAGGCAGCAGUGGGGAAUAUUGGACAAUGGGCGCAAGCCUGAUCCAGCCAUACCGCGUGGGUGAAGAAGGCCUUCGGGUUGUAAAGCCCUUUUGUUGGGAAAGAAAAGCAGCAGGUUAAUACCCCGCUGUUCUGACGGUACCCAAAGAAUAAGCACCGGCUAACUUCGUG